UACGAAGGGGGCUAGCGUUGCUCGGAAUCACUGGGCGUAAAAGGGUUUGUAGGUGGCUUGCUAAGUUCAGACGUGAAAUCCCCUCAGCUUAACCGGGGAACUGCGUCUGAUACUGGAUGGCUUGAGUUUGGGAGAGGGAUGCGGAAUUCCAGGUGUAGCGGUGAAAUGCGUAGAUAUCUGGAGGAACACCGGUGGCGAAGGCGGCAUCCUGGACCAACACUGACACUGAGGAGCGAAAGCCAGGGGAGCAAACGGG
rnacentral:rRNA from 1 species